rnacentral:misc_RNA from 1 species
CCGAGUUUACAACUCCCAAACCCCUGUGAACCAUACCAUAUCGUUGCCUCGGCGGCUGCCCUCGCUCUCGUGGGAGCCGCCAGAGGACCCAAAACUCUUGCUUUCGUAUCUAGGAUUUUAUUCUGAGUGUUGCUGCAUACAAAAUAAAUCA